rnacentral:misc_RNA from 1 species
GAUGAAGAACGCAGCGAAAUGCGAUAAGUAAUGUGAAUUGCAGAAUUCAGUGAAUCAUCGAAUCUUUGAACGCAUCUUGCGCUCCUUGGUAUUCUGAGGAGCAUGCCUGUUUGAGUGUCAUUAAAUUCUCAACUACACUGACUUUGAAUUGGUGUGGCUUGGAUUUGGGGGGAAAAUUGUUGUGGGCUUUUUGUAUAGUCUGCUCCCCUGAAAUUGAUUAGCGGUACCUUUGUGGAACUGUCUACAGGUGUGAUAAUUAUCUACAUCUGCUGGAAUGCUGCUUUCUAAACCUUACUUGUAUUGACAAUCUUGACCUCAAAUCAGGUAGGACUACCCGCUGAAUUUAAGCAUAUCAAUAAGCGGAGGA